rnacentral:rRNA from 1 species
CUACGGGUUGCAGCAGUGGGGAAUCUUAGACAAUGGGCGCAAGCCUGAUCUAUCCAUGCCGCGUGAGUGACGAAGGCCUUAGGGUCGUAAAGCUCUUUCGCUGGGGAAGAUAAUGACGGUACCCAGUAAAGAAACCCCGGCUAACUCCGUGCCAGCAGCCGCGGUAAUACGGAGGGGGUUAGCGUUGUUCGGAAUUACUGGGCGUAAAGCGCGCGUAGGCGGAUCAGAAAGUUGGGGGUGAAAUCCCGGGGCUCAACCCCGGAACUGCCUUCAAAACUCCUGGUCUUGAGUUCGAGAGAGGUGAGUGGAAUUCCGAGUGUAGAGGUGAAAUUCGUAGAUAUUCGGAGGAACACCAGUGGCGAAGGCGGCUCACUGGCUCGAUACUGACGCUGAGGUGCGAAAGCGUGGGGAGCAAACAGGAUUAGAUACCCCAGUAGUC